UACGGAGGGUGCAAGCGUUAUCCGGAUUCACUGGGUUUAAAGGGUGCGUAGGCGGGCAGGUAAGUCAGUGGUGAAAUCUCCGAGCUUAACAUGGAAACUGCCAUUGAUACUACUGAUCUUGAAUUUUCAGGAGGUAAGCGGAAUAUGUCAUGUAGCGGUGAAAUGCUUAGAUAUGACAUAGAACACCAAUUGCGAAGGCAGCUUACUACAGGAAUAUUGACACUGAUGCACGAAAGCGUGGGGAUCAAACAGG
rnacentral:rRNA from 1 species